GUUUCAUUUCCUUGUCUCUUUGUAUUGCCUAAGACCUUCGGUACAAUGAAGGUUAGAAAUAAUAAUGGGCAUCUCUGCUGCAUUUCUGACUUUAAAAGAAUAGAUUCUAAGGCUCACAAUUAACAGUGCAUACCUCCUGGGAACAUGUUACCAAAAGUUAGAAGGCCAAAUUCCCUCAGCCUCUAUCCAGCAUCACAAAUAACUUCAAUGAGAACCAUAGGAACAUCGAGUGUCCUGUGAAUCUGAGAACUGCAAUGGGCCCUAGGGGCUCUUCCAUCCAGGCUUAUCAUGAUUCAGGAGAAGAAAUUGAGGACCGAAGACAUCAAAUAUAAUAAGCUAAUGGAGGAACUGAGGCUACUUGCCUGGCUCCAGUGCUCUUUCCUUUGCCUCAAAAUCUUUACAGGUCAGCCAUCUAUCAUGUGUAGAAUAAGCAAACUGAAUUAACAUUGGAAAUAUUAAAAGAACAGAGGUUGCGUGGAUAUUGGUUGGAACAGAGAAGAAGUUUUCACAAGGAAUUAAAGUAACACCAGCUGCUCACUGCUCUGACUUAAACCAUACAGCAACUCCAGAAACAUGGGGGGUGUUGUUGAGUGGCAAGCCUAACCCUGAGUCUGGCAUUUAGUGGACACUUAAUGAAUGUUUGCUGAAUCGAAUUGAAUGUGCAUGGAAACUCUGGGAAAAAUCCUCCAGAAUCCUUCAGAUGGUGAAUGUGCAGUGAAGAGGUGGAAUGAGGCAAUUCCCUCAAAUUACAAAUUCACCUAUUUUGUUAAGAAAACAUUAAGAUGGAUAUCUUUUAUUUUUCUGUGUGAAAAUAAAGAAAAAAGAAUGCUGAA
rnacentral:lncRNA from 1 species